GAUGAACGCUGGCGGCGUGCCUAAUACAUGCAAGUCGAGCGAACGGACGAGAAGCUUGCUUCUCUGAUGUUAGCGGCGGACGGGUGAGUAACACGUGGAUAACCUACCUAUAAGACUGGGAUAACUUCGGGAAACCGGAGCUAAUACCGGAUAAUAUUUUGAACCGCAUGGUUCAAAAGUGAAAGACGGUCUUGCUGUCACUUAUAGAUGGAUCCGCGCUGCAUUAGCUAGUUGGUAAGGUAACGGCUUACCAAGGCAACGAUGCAUAGCCGACCUGAGAGGGGGAUGGGCCACCAGGGAACGGAGACACGGUCCAGACCCCGACGGGGGGAAGCAGUAGGGAAUCUUCCGAAAGGGGCGAAAGCCUGACGGGGCAACGCCGCGGGGGUGAUGAAGGUCUUCGGAUCGUAAAACUCUGUUAUUAGGGAAGAACAUAUGUGUAAGUAACUGUGCACAUCUUGACGGUACCUAAUAAGAAAGCCCCGGCUAACUACGU
rnacentral:rRNA from 1 species